rnacentral:rRNA from 1 species
UACGUAGGGUGCGAGCGUUGUCCGGAAUUAUUGGGCGUAAAGAGCUCGUAGGCGGUGUGUCACGUCGGCCGUGAAAACCUGCAGCUUAACUGUGGGCGUGCGGUCGAUACGGGCAUCACUGGAGUUCGGCAGGGGAGACUGGAAUUCCUGGUGUAGCGGUGAAAUGCGCAGAUAUCAGGAGGAACACCGAUGGCGAAGGCAGGUCUCUGGGCCAUAACUGACGCUGAGACGCGAAAGCGUGGGGAGCGAACAGG